rnacentral:rRNA from 1 species
UACGGAGGGAGCUAGCGUUAUUCGGAAUUACUGGGCGUAAAGCGCGCGUAGGCGGUUUUUUAAGUCAGAGGUGAAAGCCUGGAGCUCAACUCCAGAACUGCCUUUGAAACUGGAAGACUUGAAUCUUGGAGAGGUCAGUGGAAUUCCGAGUGUAGAGGUGAAAUUCGUAGAUAUUCGGAAGAACACCAGUGGCGAAGGCGACUGACUGGACAAGUAUUGACGCUGAGGUGCGAAAGCGUGGGGAGCAAACAGG